AUACGGAGGGUGCAAGCGUUAUCCGGAAUCAUUGGGUUUAAAGGGUCCGUAGGCGGGCUAAUAAGUCAGGGGUGAAAUCCCACAGCUUAACUGUGGAACUGCCCUUGAUACUGUUGGUCUUGAGUUACUGUGAAGUGGUUAGAAUGUGUAGUGUAGCGGUGAAAUGCAUAGAGAUUACACAGAAUACCGAUUGCGAAGGCAGAUCACUAACUGUAUACUGACGCUAAUGGACGAAGGCGUGGGGAGCGAACAGAAGUAGAAACCCCGGUAGUCC
rnacentral:rRNA from 1 species